rnacentral:rRNA from 1 species
AUUGAACGCUGGCGGCAUGCUUUACACAUGCAAGUCGAACGGCAGCGCGGGCUUCGGCCUGGCGGCGAGUGGCGAACGGGUGAGUAAUGCAUCGGAACGUGCCCAGUAGUGGGGGAUAGCCCGGCGAAAGCCGGAUUAAUACCGCAUACGACCUGAGGGUGAAAGCGGGGGACCGAAAGGCCUCGCGCUAUUGGAGCGGCCGAUGUCGGAUUAGCUAGUUGGUGGGGUAAAGGCUUACCAAGGCGGCGAUCCGUAGCUGGUCUGAGAGGACGACCAGCCACACUGGGACUGAGACACGGCCCAGACUCCUACGGGAGGCAGCAGUGGGGAAUUUUGGACAAUGGGGGCAACCCUGAUCCAGCCAUGCCGCGUGCGGGAAGAAGGCCUUCGGGUUGUAAAACGCUUUUGUUCGGGAAGAAAUCCUCUGGGCUAAUACCCCGGGGGGAUGACGGUACCGGAAGAAUAAGCACCGGCUAACUACGUG